GAUGAACGCUAGCUACAGGCUUAACACAUGCAAGUCGAGGGGCAGCACAGUGUAGCAAUACACGGGUGGCGACCGGCGCACGGGUGCGUAACGCGUAUCCAACUUUCCCGUUACUCUCGGAUAGCCUUCCGAAAGGGAGAUUAAUACGAGAUGGUGUUCAGUUUCCGCAUGUUUGCUGAACUAAAGAUUCAUCGGUAACGGAUAGGGAUGCGUGACAUUAGAUAGUUGGCGGGGUAACGGCCCACCAAGUCAACGAUGUCUAGGGGUUCUGAGAGGAAGGUCCCCCACACUGGAACUGAGACACGGUCCAGACUCCUACGGGAGGCAGCAGUGAGGAAUAUUGGUCAAUGGUCGGAAGACUGAACCAGCCAAGUAGCGUGAAGGAUGAAGGUUCUAUGGAUUGUAAACUUCUUUUAUACGGGAAUAAAACCACCUACGUGUAGGUGCUUGUAUGUACCGUAUGAAUAAGCAUCGGCUAACUCCGUGCCAGCAGCC
rnacentral:rRNA from 1 species